rnacentral:rRNA from 1 species
CACGUUCGGAUUGCAGGCUGCAACCCGCCUGUAUGAAGUUGGAAUCGCUAGUAAUCGCGGAUCAGCAUGCCGCGGUGAAUACGUUCCCGGGCCUUGUACACACCGCCCGUCACACCAUGAGAGUCGGGAACACCCGAAGUCCGUAGCCUAACCGCAAGGGGGGCGCGGCCGAAGGUGGGUUCGAUAAUUGGGGUGAAGUCGUAACAAGGUACC